rnacentral:rRNA from 1 species
GAUGAACGCUGGCGGCAUGCCUAAUACAUGCAAGUCGAACGAGAGGAAGGAAAGCUUGCUUUCCUGAAUCUAGUGGCGAACGGGUGAGUAACACGUAGGUAACCUGCCCAUGUGCCCGGGAUAACUUCUGGAAACGGAUGCUAAAACCGGAUAGGUAGCAGACAAGCAUUUGACUGCUAUUAAAGUGGCCUUGGCCAUGAACAUGGAUGGACCUGCGGUGCAUUAGCUAGUUGGUGAGGUAACGGCCCACCAAGGCGACGAUGCAUAGCCGGCCUGGAGGGGCGGACGGCCACAUUGGGACUGAGACACGGCCCAAACUCCUACGGGAGGCAGCAGUAGGGAAUUUUCGUCAAUGGGGGGAACCCUGAACGAGCAAUGCCGCGUGAGUGAGGAAGGUCUUCGGAUCGUAAAGCUCUGUUGUAAGAGAAAAACGGCACUCAUAGGGAAUGAUGAGUGAGUGAUGGUAUCUUACCAGAAAGUCACGGCUAACUACGUGCCAGCCGCCGCAGUAAAAC